rnacentral:rRNA from 1 species
AUUGAACGCUGGCGGCAGGCUUAACACAUGCAAGUCGAGCGGGGUGAUGGUGCUUGCACUAUCACUUAGCGGCGGACGGGUGAGUAAUGCUUAGGAAUCUGCCUAUUAGUGGGGGGCAACAUCUCGAAAGGGAUGCUAAUACCGCAUACGUCCUACGGGAGAAAGCAGGGGAUCACUUGUGACCUUGCGCUAAUAGAUGAGCCUAAGUCGGAUUAGCUAGUUGGUGGGGUAAAGGCCUACCAAGGCGACGAUCUGUAGCGGGUCUGAGAGGAUGAUCCGCCACACUGGGACUGAGACACGGCCCAGACUCCUACGGGAGGCAGCAGUGGGGAAUAUUGGACAAUGGGGGGAACCCUGAUCCAGCCAUGCCGCGUGUGUGAAGAAGGCCUUAUGGUUGUAAAGCACUUUAAGCGAGGAGGAGGCUCUUUUGGUUAAUACCCAAGGUGAGUGGACGUUACUCGCAGAAUAAGCACCGGCUAACUCUGUGCCAGCCGCUGCGGUAA